UACAGCCAUAUCAUGUUGAAACACCAGUUCUCAUUCGAUCAUGAAAGUUAAGCAACACUGAGCCUGAUCAGUACCUAGAUGGGUGACUUCUUGGGAAUACCAGAUGCUGCAAG